AAAGUCUUGAGCUUCUGCAGAUAA
rnacentral:siRNA from 1 species